GUGCUCUCUUGGGCAGCACAUAUACUAAAAUUGAAAAGAUGCAGAGAUUAGCAUGGCCCCUGCACAGGGAUGACAUGCAAAUUCAUGAAGCUUUCCAUAAUUAA